AGGAAAUUCAUAAUAUUUUCAGAAAUUUGGUCAAAAGAGCCCAACAGCGACUCCACCCUCUCCGGAGACUACGGAAAGCAGGUCUCCCCACUGCCCAUCUAAGAACCUUUUAUAGGGGCACAAUUGAGAGCAUAAUAACCUACGGCAUCACUUCCUGGUUCGGGAGCUGCAAGGCUUACGAACAAUAUCAACUAAACAGGAUAGUGAAGACCGCCAGCAGGAUUAUCGGUGCCCCACUCCCUUUCCUGCUGGAGAUAUACAAGAAGAGGAGCAUCAGCAGAGCCAUCUCCAUCAUUCAGGACCUCUACCACCCAUCACAUCACAUCUUUUCCAUUCUGCCAUCUGGGAAGAGGUACAGGAGCAUCAGUUGCAAAACCAGCAGGAUGCUCCUCAGCUUCUUCCCACAGGCAAUAAGACUGAUUAACGGACUUUGUCU